AUUGAACGCUGGCGGCAUGCCUUACACAUGCAAGUCGAACGGCAGCACGGGGCAACCUGGUGGCGAGUGGCGAACGGGUGAGUAAUGCAUCGGAACGUACCUUUCAGUGGGGGAUAACGUAGCGAAAGUUACGCUAAUACCGCAUAUUCUGUGAGCAGGAAAGCAGGGGAUCGCAAGACCUUGCGCUGAUUGAGCGGCCGAUGUCAGAUUAGCUAGUUGGUGAGGUAAAGGCUCUCCAAGGCGACGAUCUGUAGCGGGUCUGAGAGGAUGAUCCGCCACACUGGAACUGAGACACGGUCCAGACUCCUACGGGAGGCAGCGGUGGGGAAUUUUGGACAAUGGGGGCAACCCUGAUCCAGCCAUGCCGCGUGAGUGAAGAAGGCCUUCGGGUUUUAAAGCUCUUUCGGCCGGGAAGAAAUCGCACGGGCUAAUACCCUGUGUGGAUGACGGUACCGGAAUAAGAAGCACCGGCUAACUACGUGCCAGCAGCCGCCGUAA
rnacentral:rRNA from 1 species